GUGAAUCAUCAAAUCUUUGAACGCAAAUUGCACUCCUGGUAUUCCGGGGAGGAUGCCUUUUUGAGGGUCGUUAGAAUAAAAAAUCCAGGCCUCGCUCUUUUUUUUUAAGGGUGAUCGCGUCGGAAUUGAGCCGUCUUUCAAAUGUUAAUUUAUGUUAAAGUGGCUUGAAAUUCAUCCAUCCGGUUCGAUUAAAACGUAUUUAAGAUCAAUCUUUAUUAA
rnacentral:misc_RNA from 1 species